rnacentral:misc_RNA from 1 species
CUCGUUCGUCGUAUGGGUUAUAUCUCACCUUCUCUUUCUAUAAAAACCUCACCUUUCUUCUCUAUUCUCACAAAAAACCCUUUUCCAUUUCAUCAUCUUCAUCCUAUCCAAUUCUUCAAACCAAUUCACACCAAAUCCCCACAAACCCAUCUCUUUUCCAUGAACCAAAAACCCCAUUUCACCACUUCCGCUGCUUUUCUCCAAGAACCCACAAACACAAAAACAUUGUCUAACAGGUCGGCCAAGAAAGCUCGCCGUGACGCCCCUGAGAGUGUGCUGCGUCAUCAGUUAGACCAGUGUUCUAAACGGGGUGAUUUACAGGAAGCAAUUCGACUUUAUGAAGAAGCUAAGUUAAACAAUAUUACCCUUAAUGUUCAUCAUUAUAAUGUGUUGCUUUAUCUUUGUUCUUCUGGUUCGGGUACUGAGGGAUGUGGGAUUGAGAAAGGAU